GACACAUUUGUAGCAAUACCUUCUCAUGAGGAUGAUCCCACAUGCAGGCAUUAUGUUUGAAAAACCAAUACAGUAAAUGCAGGUGAGGAUUCAUCAAAGUCUGAGCUCUUUAGAAUGGAAGCUUUAAGCACAGACUUGGUGGAAGGGUUUGGUUUUGCUCUAUAAACUGCUGAUGGCAAAGGGCUGGUGGCUGUCUGCCCCCAGGGUGGGCCAGCGGGGCUGCAGUGUGUGCACUGUGCGGCCCUCUGGUGAGUUGGACACUGCCUCCAGUUCUGUGCCAUCCAUGAGUUCUUGAGGAUGCCCUCUGUCCCAUCAUCUGGAUCGUUAAAGAUGUGAAACAGACUGGACCCAGUAGUGACCCUGGGACACUCUGCUUGCUGCUGGCCUCCAGACAGGCUGCACCUCUCACCAAGACCCUCUGGGCCCAGCCAUUCAACUCAUUUUUGAUCCACCUCUCUUUCUGCUCAUCCAGCCCAUACUUCAACAGCUUCUCUCUGAGGAUCUUACUGGAGAUGGAGUCAAAGACCAUACUGAAAUCCAGGGAGACAGUAUUCACUUUUCCUCCCCAUCCAGGAGGCUGAUGAUUUCAUUAUAGAAGCUUAUCAGGUUGAUCAGGCACAGCUUCUUCUUGGUGAAUCCACUCUGGCUAUUCCUGAUGUUUUUCUUCUCUUUCAUGUGCCUGGAAAUGGUUUUCAGGGUGAGCUGCUCCAUCACCACCCCAGGGACUACGGUGGGACUGACCAGCCAGCCAUUCUCCAAGUGCUCCUUCUUGCCCUUUUUGAAGACAGGAGUGACACUUACUUUUCUCCAGCCUUCAGGCACAUCUCCCAGUUACCACGAUUGACCAAAGAUUAUAGAGAACGGCCUCACAAUCACAUAUGGGUGCAUUUGGUCAGAGCCCAUGACUGGAAGAUGUCCAUGGAGAAGGUGAUCCUUGAAUGCUAACCAGCUCUCUUGGGCCUCUCCUCCCUGCAGGGCCUUACCCCACAGGACUACCCAGCAGAUCCUUGGAGAGGCCCAAGUCUGCUCUACAAAGGUUCAGGGUUGUGAGCUGGCAUUUAUCGCUCCUCCUUGCUCUUGGGAUCCCAACCUCCUCCAUUUUGUGGUCACAACAGCCAAGAUUGCCUCCAUCCUCCACAUCCCCAGCGAGCCCCUUGUUGCUGGUGGCCACAAGGUCCUCUCCUUUUGGUUCCUUUGUCGCUUGGAGGAGGAAGCUUUAAGAACACUCCAAGAACCUCCUGGUUUGCUUAUGUCCCAUGUGGACUGGUGGCACCGGUCGGCCACCCUCACCCUUGUCCCUUUAUCUCCUGCUCCUACUUGUGUGCUGCUGUUUUUCCAUCUGAAUCAUUUAUCAUGGCCUAGGAGCACAGCAGAGCUGUGAUUUGCGCUGAAGCCGCCAGCCUGCAGGAAACAGCAGGGCUCUAAGAAAAGGGAGGCUCCGGUUACAACUUCCCUCUUACUUACUGCUCCUGGCAGCACAGAAGCAGAACUGCUGUGAAUGAGAUGGAGCCUCAACCACGUGCAUCCCUGAGACACAAACACAGGCUGUGAAUCCCGCAGUACCGCUCCAUCCCUGCUUAUGAAUCCUCCCCGAGAUGCCUUGGCUUUAAGGAGCACACGCAGCUUUCCUCCUAAAGCCAGCCAGCUGCACUGGUUUUGUCUCCUGCUCCUAUUGCACCCACAACCUCUCUGGGCAGCCUGUGCCAGCGCCUCACUGCCCUCUGAGUAAAGAAUUUCACCCCGACAUCUAAGCUAUAUUUCCCCUCUUUUAGUUUAAAGCCAUUCCCCCUUGUCCUGUCACCAUCAGACCAUGUAAAAGCAACUCCUCCUGCUGCUUGUAAGCUCCCCUCAAGUCCUGGAAGGCUGCUUGUUGGUGUACAGGCGUUUGGAGGACUUUGGUCAAGCAAAACGUGGGGCAACACUGUGUAAGCAGGGAUGCAUAACAUUAUUCCUGUUGCCUCAGAUGCAUUCUUUUAUACAGAAAAGUUGUUCUGUGAGUGUGGAUAGGCCUGUUUUUGGGGUGCCGGUCCCACACGUGGUGUGCAGCUGAUGCCCCUACAUGACAUGGAGAGCCUCAAGGCCCAGCGUGGCCACCCCCAAGCCGUGGGGCUGCAGGGUUGAGGCUGUGGGGUUGAGGCUCUGCUGGCCCAGCGCAACCCAUCUGUCUGCUUGUCUUUCACUUUCUCUUUUUGCAGCGGUGGGUGGGGCUGCGGUUACCUUGGUCGAUUACUUACAGUUUGAAUGGGAAUCACAAACAAAGGACGUGUUUAAUAAGAAGAAUGUUUUCAGCGCUGUUUCUAAAGCCAUGAGCACUCUGCAUUGUUGGUGGGUGAUGUCUUUUUUAAUGCACUUCCCCCCAUGUUUUGUUUUUCAGGAGGCAGAGAGGCACACACAAACACAGCUCACAUCCUGGGACGCAGCACACACACGGUGUGCUCACAGCUCAGCAGCGAGUGGUGCUAUUGGGGUUCAGAUUUACCAUAUUGCUUCUCUGGGAGCUGGUGAAAAAGGCAGCGGUGUUCACGUGUGCCAAACUGCAAAACUGUGCUGCGAAGUGAAUGUGAGCUGUUCUCAGCACCUGGACCUUGGACCCUGCUUCCUCACCAUCUCCAUUGUCCCCAUCAUCUCUAUCACCCCACCAUCCCUAUCAUUCUUAUCACCCCCAUGAUGCCACGACACUCAUUGUUCCCAUCAUCCCCAUCAUCCCUAUUAUAUCCACCACUCCUAGCAUUCUUAUCAUGGCUAUGAUCCCAUGACACUCCUCAUUCCCAUCAUCCCGUCACCUCCAUUCUCCCCAUCAUUAUCAUCAUCCCCAUCAUCUCCACUGUCCCCAUUGACCCCAUCAUCCCUUGUCCCCACUGUCCCCAUCAUCCUCAUCACUUUCCAUCAUUCCCCAUCAUCCCCACUGUCUCUAUUUUCCUCAAGUCCCCAUGGAUGGCAUCCAUUCUGAGAUGCUAAAGACACCUCUUUCUGAAAUACUGAAAAAUAAAUGAGGUGGAUUCUUUUGUUUUA